AUGAGGAGGCCUUUACAGCUGCAGUUGCCUCAGGUGGAUGUUCAGAAUGUGUUUGCAUAUGGUGGAAAAAACGCAAGGAGCAGCGAGAUGCAGCCAGGGACGUCGCCCUGUCUGUCAGCACUGGGCUUGGACUGGGACCAUCAUCACCGUAGAGACUGGGGCAGCUCCUGCAGCUUUUAGAAGUUGACCAGCUCAGAGAUGUGCUGAGGUUUUGGGGAAAUCCAUUGUGAAAUUAAAAUAGAGGAAAACUCAUCUAUCUUCUGCACAAUCUGGGUGAACACAGAC
rnacentral:lncRNA from 1 species